rnacentral:rRNA from 1 species
UACGUAGGGGGCAAGCGUUGUCCGGAUUCAUUGGGCGUAAAGAGCGUGUAGGCGGCCAGGUAGGUCGGUUGUGAAAACUGGAGGCUCAACCUUCAGAGGUCGACCGAAACCAUCUGGCUAGAGUCCGGGAGAGGAGAGUGGAAUUCCCGGUGUAGCGGUGAAAUGCGCAGAUAUCAGGAGGAACACCAAUUGCGAAGGCAGCUCGCUGGGACGUUACUGACGCUGGAGACGCGAAAGCGUGGGGAGCAAACAGG